AUUGAACGCUGGCGGCAGGCCUAACACAUGCAAGUCGAGCGGAGCGGCGGACGGGUGAGUAAUGCCUAGGAAUCUGCCUGGUAGUGGGGGAUAACGUCAGGAAACGGGAGCUAAUACCGCAUACUAUCAGAUGAGCCUAGGUGGGCUUAGCUUGUUGGCGGGGUAAAGGCCUACAAAGGCGACGAUCCGGAACUGGGCUGCGAGGAUGAUCAGUCAACCUGGAACUGAGACACGGUCCAGACUCCUAGGGGAGGCAGCAGGGGGGAAUAUUGGACAAUUGGCGAAAGCCUGAUCCAGCCAUGCCGCGUGUGUGAAGAAGGUCUUCGGAUUGUAAAGCUCUUUAAGUUGGGAGGCGUUACCAACAGAAUAAGCACCGGCUAACUUCGUGCCAGCCGCCGCGGUAAUAC
rnacentral:rRNA from 1 species